rnacentral:rRNA from 1 species
AGAGUUUGAUUAUGGCUCAGGAUGAACGCUAGCGGCAGGCUUAACACAUGCAAGUCGAGGGGCAUCGCGGGUAGCAAUACCUGGCGGCGACCGGCGAAAGGGUGAGUAACGCGUGAGCAACGUGCCCGUAUGUGGGGGAUAGUCGAUGGAAACGUCGCGUAAUACCCCGUAACACAUUAUCUCGCAUGGGAUGAUGUUGAAAGAUUUAUUGCAUACGGAUCGGCUCGCGUGCCAUUAGGUAGACGGCGGGGUAACGGCCCACCGUGCCGACGAUGGCUAGGGGUUCUGAGAGGAAGGUCCCCCACAUUGGAACUGAGACACGGUCCAGACUCCUACGGGAGGCAGCAGUGAGGAAUAUUGGACAAUGGCCGGAAGGCUGAUCCAGCCAUGCCGCGUGCGGGAAGACGGCCCUAUGGGUUGUAAACCGCUUUUGCGAGGGAGCAAUAAGGGUAACGUGUUGCCCGAUGAGAGUACCUCGCGAAUAAGCAUCGGCUAACUCCGUGCCAGCCGCGGC